GCUUUCGUGGUGUAAUGGUCAGCACACUCGGCUCGUAAUCGAGAGGUCCGGGGUUGGAGUCCCGGCGAGAGCA
rnacentral:tRNA from 1 species